UACAGAGGGGGCAAGCGUUGUUCGGAAUUACUGGGCGUAAAGGGCGCGUAGGCGGCCUUCUAAGUCGAACGUGAAAUCCCCGGGCUCAACCCGGGAACUGCGUCCGAUACUGGAAGGCUUGAAUCCGGGAGAGGGAUGCGGAAUUCCAGGUGUAGCGGUGAAAUGCGUAGAUACCUGGAGGAACACCGGUGGCGAAGGCGGCAUCCUGGACCGGCAUUGACGCUGAGGCGCGAAAGCUAGGGGAGCGAACGGG
rnacentral:rRNA from 1 species